UCCACUUUUUUAAAGCGCAUUUCUUUAUUUUAUGUUACAGAAAAGUAAAAAAUGAAAUAGUUUAGACUGAAAUAAACGGCUGUUGAUAAUGAAGUUCAUAUUUGUUCUAUGUGUUUUCUUCGUUUUCGUUUCGACUUCUAUGUCUCUUGUGGUGAAAAAAGAAACUCCAUCCAAUAAUAUUUCUCAAGAUACUGGCACUUCGCAACAAGGUGUAAACAAGGGUAGAUACAAUUUAUGCACGUUAAACGCAAUGAUAUUGGCUUCCCAAAUGAUGGCAAACUGUAGUAGUAACAUUGGAGAAGACACACCGUGUUUAAGUUCUCCGUGUCAAUUAGGAAUAAGUGCCUCACCAACCCAAUGUACCUACUUUAAUAAUGUCUUUAACUAUCCGACUGGAUUAUAUUGUUCGACAGCUGCUUCUUUUCUAUUUAAUAUUAACACAUCAAUUACGUAUUUUAAUUGUUGCCAGACUUAAAGCAUACUUUGAUAUCAAGCAAUUUAUCCUAUUUUGACAUUAAUAAAAUUUAAUGAGGUUGUAAAAUAAUGCAUAACGACCACAACUUCAUCAUUGGGGCACUAAAAAAUAAAUCAUUUUAGUUUCCCAACCUUCAAGAAAUUAAAAAUGAAAAACAUUUUACUUUGCAAAUUGUUUAAAAGUUAUGUAAAUUAAAUGCGUUAAAAAUUUAACUUAUCAAAAUAUGUAUGGCUUUUGUAUAUAUGAUUUUUACGUUUAUAAUUAAAUUACAAAU